rnacentral:rRNA from 1 species
GAUGAACGCUGGCGGCGUGCUUAACACAUGCAAGUCGAACGAUGAUGCCCAGCUUGCUGGGUGGAUUAGUGGCGAACGGGUGAGUAACACGUGAGUAACCUGCCCUUGACUCUGGGAUAAGCCUGGGAAACUGGGUCUAAUACCGGAUACGACCAUCUGGCGCAUGUCAUGGUGGUGGAAAGCUUUUGUGGUUUUGGAUGGACUCGCGGCCUAUCAGCUUGUUGGUGGGGUAAUGGCCUACCAAGGCGACGACGGGUAGCCGGCCUGAGAGGGUGACCGGCCACACUGGGACUGAGACACGGCCCAGACUCCUACGGGAGGCAGCAGUGGGGAAUAUUGCACAAUGGGCGCAAGCCUGAUGCAGCGACGCCGCGUGAGGGAUGACGGCCUUCGGGUUGUAAACCUCUUUCAGUAGGGAAGAGGCGAAAGUGACGGUACCUGCAGAAGAAGCGCCGGCUAACUACG